GGUCAUCACGGCGGUUCUGAUAA
rnacentral:siRNA from 1 species